AGAGUAGUGGGAGCAACCAGGGAGGCGCUGAGCCAAGUAAUCGACUGGAGCAAGAUGUUGUCCCUGCCAGUGGUGGCAACGAGGUUCCACUGCAGGAGGUACAAGUGGAGUUUGAGGAUGAGCUCCCUAUCUCCUAGGUCGUGUCGAGAAAACGUAGGCACGAGGAAGAAAACACCACCAAUCAACAGGAGGGUCGGAGUGGUGGUCGUGAUGGUCAGGGCGACGGGUCUUAGUGACUCUCUAAGUUGCCUAGUCUAGAGAUAACCGGUGCGGGCACCGGAGUUAGGACCGGUACCAUGGCUUAGGCAGCAAUGGUGGGUCAUCGGACAACUUGCUCAGGCAUCGUCAGAAGGGGAAGAUGGCAGUUGCAACAAAUGGGGAACCAUAUGUUCCUCAGUAUGGGUUGUCAAUCGAGCAAUCCAUUUUCGAUGAUCUCGAGUAUGCUCGGAUUGUCGUUUUGGAGGGUUCGUUACCCAAAGACAAGGUGGCGUACAAGGAGGCAAGAUUUUGCAAACUCCUUGGCCAAGCAUUUACCUAUGUGGCAGAGGAUUGUGAGAAGAGGUUUAAUGAAGGCUAGGCACAGGCAUCUGAACUUAGGGAGACAUUGGAUGUUGUGGAGAAGGAGAAGUAGAAGUUAGAGCAGUAACUUGGCCAACGGGAUGCAAAGAUCAGGGGUUACGAAGUCGGAAUGAAGAGUUACAGCAUCAGAAACUUGCUGCUAUGACCAAGGUUGUGGCUGCGGAGGAGGUAGUGAAGAAGAGGGAUCUUAAUCUUCAUCGACUCCCAACGAGCUUGAUACUGAGGUGAAGAGAGCAUGGUUCUGUCUGCUGCUCAAGAGAAUGAGAGGCAGCAGUUGGCCUCACUUAAGGUGCGGUUAGUGGAGGGUGAGAGCAGCACUAUAAGGAGGUACAAGGAGUAUGAGCAGUAUAGGACAGAGGUGGCUCUCGCGGGUGUUGCGGUUGUAUCUCCAGGGCAUGUUAAUGGUUCGUAUGGAGGCAGAACGAGAAAGCCCUAGGAUCAACUUGAGCGUCCUUUUUGCUGAGUGCGAAAAAGCCAAGCUCUUGAAGGUCGAGGUGCCUCCGCGAUCGUCAGGCGACACCAGGCCAAAUGAAGGAGAAAUUUCACCACCAUCUGACCAUCUGACCCUCAGAACAUCAUACCUACAUCGUACUCUGCUCAUGUGCUUCCUUCCUCAGAGCCUAAUGUUUUGAUGCUGUCUUCCCUUGAAGAUGCCCCUGUUGCUGUUUGUGGAAUCGAGGCUACUUCCCCUGCUGGUCCUAUGUCUGAGCUUGUUCCUGGCACCACUGUUUCUCUCCAAGAUUGUCCUGCGGUGGAUGCUGUACCUACCGUUGCGGACUGAUUUUUUCUUUGUUUUUGUUUCCCUGCUUGUAAGACUCAUGCUUUCUUGUAAAUGAGUGAAUCAUUUUGUUAAAUGGAUGAAUCAUUU